AACGAACGCUGGCGGCAUGCCUAACACAUGCAAGUCGAACGAGACCUUCGGGUCUAGUGGCGCACGGGUGCGUAACGCGUGGGAAUCUGCCCUUGGGUUCGGAAUAACAGUUGGAAACGACUGCUAAUACCGGAUGAUGACGUAAGUCCAAAGAUUUAUCGCCCAGGGAUGAGCCCGCGUAGGAUUAGCUAGUUGGUGGGGUAAAGGCCUACCAAGGCGACGAUCCUUAGCUGGUCUGAGAGGAUGAUCAGCCACACUGGGACUGAGACACGGCCCAGACUCCCACGGGAGGCAGCAGUGGGGAAUAUUGGACAAUGGGCGAAAGCCUGAUCCAGCAAUGCCGCGUGAGUGAUGAAGGCCUUGGGGUUGUAAAGCUCUUCUACCCGGGAUGAUAAUGACAGUACCGGGAGAAUAAGCCCCGGCUAACUCCAUGCCAGCCGCCGCAGUAA
rnacentral:rRNA from 1 species